rnacentral:rRNA from 1 species
GACGAACGCUGGCGGCGUGCCUAAUACAUGCAAGUAGAACGCUGAAGGAGGAGCUUGCUUCUCUGGAUGAGUUGCGAACGGGUGAGUAACGCGUAGGUAACCUGCCUGGUAGCGGGGGAUAACUAUUGGAAACGAUAGCUAAUACCGCAUAACAGUAGAUAUCGCAUGAUAUCUACUUGAAAGGUGCAAUUGCAUCACUACCAGAUGGACCUGCGUUGUAUUAGCUAGUUGGUGAGGUAACGGCUCACCAAGGCGACGAUACAUAGCCGACCUGAGAGGGUGAUCGGCCACACUGGGACUGAGACACGGCCCAGACUCCUACGGGAGGCAGCAGUAGGGAAUCUUCGACAAUGGACGGAAGUCUGACCGAGCAACGCCGCGUGAGUGAAGAAGGUUUUCGGAUCGUAAAGCUCUGUUGUAAGAGAAGAACGAGUGUGAGAGUGGAAAGUUCACACUGUGACGGUAUCUUACCAGAAAGGGACGGCUAACUACGUG